GUAGGUGAACCUGCGGAAGGAUCAUUACCGUGGGGCUUCGGCCCCAUUGAGAUAGCACCCUUUGUUUAUGAGUACCCUUGUUUCCUCGGUGGGCUUGCCCGCCAUGAGGACAUCAAAACCCUUUGUAGUAGCAGUAACUUCAGUUAAUAAUAAAUAUUAAAACUUUCAACAACGGAUCUCUUGGUUCUG
rnacentral:misc_RNA from 1 species